rnacentral:tRNA from 1 species
GCGGGUAUGGUUCAAUGGUAGAACGUCAGCCUUCCAAGCUGAACACAGGGGGUCGAUUCCCCUUACCCGCUCCA